CUUUAUGGCAGGCCGGGUGGGGAGACCUUCGGGUCUGCCGGUUUUCUUUGGGGACCGGUUCGCCAGCCCCGCCGUCGGGCCUGCCACCC
rnacentral:antisense_RNA from 16 species